GUGAAUCAUCAAAUUUUUGAACGCAAAUUGCACUCUCCGGUUUUCCGGGAGAGUAUGCCUGUUUGAGGGUCAGUUAAUUAAAAAUCGGGUUGUUACCACCUGGUGACGUUCCGGAAUUGAGUCGCCUUACUUUUUGUUAAAUGACUUAAAAAUUUUUGUAUGAUAUCUAAACGUAUUUAAAUUUAUUUGGUACGUUUUUUAAUAUCGAAUGUUUAUUAGGUGUGAUCAUUUUCAUGAUUCACAUCCUAUAAUUUUUCAUCUAAUGACCUCAAAUCAGGUAAGAAUACCCGCUGAACUUAAA
rnacentral:misc_RNA from 1 species